rnacentral:rRNA from 1 species
GACGAACGCUGGCGGCGUGCCUAACACAUGCGAGUCGAACGGAACUGUUUUGAAAGAUUUCUUCGGAAUGAAUUUGAUUUAGUUUAGUGGCGGACGGGUGAGUAACGCGUGAGUAACCUGCCUUCAAGAGGGGAAUAACAUUCUGAAAAGAAUGCUAAUACCGCAUGACAUAUCGGAACCACAUGGUUUUGAUAUCAAAGAUUUUAUCGCUUGAAGAUGGACUCGCGUCCGAUUAGUUAGUUGGUGAGGUAACGGCUCACCAAGACCGCGAUCGGUAGCCGGACUGAGAGGUUGCACGGCCACAUUGGGACUGAGACACGGCCCAGACUCCUACGGGAGGCAGCAGUGGGGGAUAUUGCGCAAUGGGGGCAACCCUGACGCAGCAACGCCGCGUGAAGGAUGAAGGUUUUCGGAUUGUAAACUUCUUUUAUUAAGGACGAAAAAUGACGGUACUUAAUGAAUAAGCUCCGGCUAACUACGUG